AAUGCUGAUCUCUGUUAUGGGGCGUUGGCUGCCAUCCCUGGACUCCGGCCAGUCCGCCCUUCUGGGGCUAUGUACCUCAUGGUUGGAAUUGAGAUGGAACAUUUCCCAGAAUUUGAGAACGAUGUGGAGUUCACGGAGCGGUUAGUUGCUGAGCAGUCUGUCCACUGCCUCCCAGCAACGGUGGGUGCCUGUGUCUCUCAGGACAUUCUCAACAGUUUCUAGAGCCCCAGAAGCAAGCUCUGAGCUGGUUUUUAGCCUGAUCUUUUCUCCUCCAACAAAAUGUCUUCUCAUUUGAUAAGAUUCAAACUGAUGUGUCUCAUGGAUCCUAUUUAAAAUUUGCUUCUCCCCCCCAUCAUAAUCCCAUCCAUACUGGGAAGAAAAGUUGUAAACAAACGUUCUAGGUGAGAGGAAAUUGAGCCUGUCCCACAAGUCAUUUUAAGAUGAAUGAACUCAGUUGCUGACUUAGCAUCCCAGUCAUGGGAACUGAAUGAACUGAUGGCCCUGAUGAAAUGGUACCACUUCUUGUGGAUCAGGGUCCUGACCAUUUUAGGGUGGUCCAGUACCAGACUCAAUUGCUCUGAAAGUAACAUACUCUUCUUUUUGCAGUGCUUUGAGUACCCGAAUUUCAUCCGAGUGGUCAUCACAGUCCCCGAGGUGAUGAUGCUGGAGGCGUGCAGCCGGAUCCAGGAGUUCUGUGAGCAGCACUACCAUUGUGCUGAAGGCAGCCAGGAGGAGUGUGAUAAAUAGGCCUGCAUCCAUUCUCCUGAGGAUGUGUCCCAUCUAGGGAAGGCUGGACUAGGCCUUGCGGCUCCUCAGGGACUCAGGUGGCCCUACUGGGAGAGGGGCCUCAAAUGCACCAUGUCGAGGGUUCAAGAUUGUUCCUGCUUUUCCCCAAGUACAAC
rnacentral:sRNA from 1 species